UGAGAUGAGUAAUGAGAUGAGUAAUGCAUGAGUAAUGAGAUGAGUAAUGCACCAGUCACCAUUUUGUCACUUUACAGAGGUCAUUGAACGAUGCCAGACUGUAUCAAUUCUAAAUGGAAUAUUCUGUGGUUUCUACUCAUCCUGACAGAUACCUGGGCUGAAGACGCUCCAAUUGACCAGUAUGGGUUGAAGGGAGGUUCAGUGUGUCUGACUGUAGCAGAACAACCUGAGGAACUUAAAGGACUUAGAUGGAAGGUCAAUAGUACUGUAAUAGUGGAUGAUAAAGAGAUCUCUCCUAAAUACAAGGAGAAGGUGGAUUAUAAUCCAGUGAACCACACUCUGUGCAUUAAGAAUCUGACAGACACAGACAGUGGAAUUUACAUUGCAAAUACAAAGAAAAAAGAUUGGACAGAUUCAACGUCUUCAUACAAACUUAAGGUGUUGGAAGCUGUUCCCAUUCCAGCAAUGCAGGUGACAUACUACAACUCAAGUACAGGACUUUGUAACAUCACAGUGAAUUGUUCAGGCUGGAUGUUUUCUGUCUGUGAUGGAGGUCAGUGCCCACUGUACCAGGAUUCUCUGUCAGUCUCUGAGUUCAACAUCACUGUUUCCAGUGGUAAUGGAUUCAUCCAGUGUAUCAUCAACAAUCAUGUCAGCGCAGAGACCGAAUCCCAACGCCUGAAGGACACAUGUAUUGUUGAGAAGAAGGGGAGAGCUGCAGCAUCACCAGUUGGCAUCAUUGUGGGUGGUGUUAGUGGUGGAUUGUUUGUCAUUGUGUUAGUUGGUGUAGGAUGGAUCAUGUCAACCAGGAGAUGGUGUAAAUAGGAUCUGACAAUGCAGUGAGCGCUCCACCAGGGGAGAGGCUGGAACCACAGAACACAGGGUUUCCUGAGGUAACAUCAAUCUACAACACUGCAAGUCAACCAGGAGCAGCAGUACCAGCAGCAGCAUCAGGAGGAGAAGAGGGCCAACCAGGGGACAAGUACACCACCAGAAGAGAGGAAACAACUACAUUUCCCCCAACAGGCAUUUUACAGCACUGUGCAGCAACCAGCGGUACAAGAUCGCCAUCAAGUGGACAAAGUGUGCUUCUGAGGCAGAGCCUAUAUCAGUCUUCGACAGCAACCUUACAGAAACCAGCUGCAGCACAGCACCACCCAAAGUGUGGAAUAACUUCAACAAACCAGACAGUGAACUGCACAAUGGGAGAUACAUCCGUCUCUGAUGUUACAUGUCUGUAGCUAGGCUCCCAUUAAUUUGUCCAGUGACCUUUUGUCAACAUUUAACAAGUGUUCAUAGAAAAUAGAUGUGACAAUAGCGGAGGUCCAUAAAGAUGGCGGCCUCCAUGCACUUAACCACACAUUCUUUGUUUUGCUAAAUUCGGAGUAUUUUAACAUUUCUCUCUGUUAAUAUUUUGCUGUAUGUUCAUUAGCACAGCAUACAUGAUCCCAAUUUUAGCUUCAAUAUGCUGGCAAUUUGAAAAAGUAGAUUGUGCUGAUUUAUUGGCACAUUAAAUCAUGUCAUUUAAAGACUCAGUGGAUAUUUCUAAAACAAUGAUGUCAUAUCUGAAUUCUGCCAUCUUUAUGCAUCUUCUCCAUUACCUGCUACGGUGCAUUUCCAUUGCACUGAAAACUAUCAAAACAUUUAAUUAUUGAAAUACAAUUUCAGUUUAGUUCCUGAAUUGGACUCACUCACUCACUCACUCAAUCAAUCAAUCAAUCAAUCAAUCAAUCAAUCAAUGAAUUCACCAUUCCAGCAAACAUCCAACCAAUCAGUCAUCGGAGUAUAUUAUUAUUUUUCUAUAAUAUGUACUGUAUGUCUAAUUAUUAAUACUAAUUUCACUAGAAAGUUAUCCAUCUAUCCAUUUCAGUAUGUUCUGUAACAUCCAGCUGGUUGUGUGGAUGAACUACAAAAGUAAGACAAUCAAUUACAGCUAAAAGCAGAAGGAUCUGGGAAUAAUGUCUGCAAACCAGAAACAGUGUACUGCACAACAGGAGAUAAACUACCCCUCCAACCCUCUCAGAGACUCACUGCUGUUACAUUGACUGAGACUUGACAUAAAGAUAUAAAACCAUAUUUUUUUGUGAAGAAUCAACAAUGGGACACAAUCAUGAAGUGGAACGACAUUUAUUGGAUAUUUCAAACUUUUUUAACAAAUCAUAAACUGAAAAAUUGGGCGUGCAAAAUUAUUCAGCCCCUUUACUUUCAGUGCAGCAAACUCUCUCCAGAAGUUCAGUGAGGAUCUCUGAAUGAUCCAAUGUUGACCUAAAUGACUAAUGAUGAUAAAUACAAUCCACCUGUGUGUAAUCAAGUCUCCGUAUAAAUGCACCUGCACUGUGAUAGUCUCAGAGGUCCGUUAAAAGCGCAGAGAGCAUCAUGAAGAACAAGGAACACACCAGGCAGGUCCGAGAUACUGUUGUGAAGAAGUUUAAAGCCUGAUUUGGAUACAAAAAGAUUUCCCAAGCUUUAAACAUCCCAGGGAGCACUGUGCAAGCGAUAAUAUUGAAAUGGAAGGAGUAUCAGACCACUGCAAAUCUACCAAGACCUGGCCGUCCCUCUAAACUUUCAGCUCAUACAAGGAGAAGACUGAUCAGAGAUGCAGCCAAGAGGCCCAUGAUCACUCUGGAUGAACUGCAGAGAUCUACAGCUGAGGUGGGAGACUCUGUCCAUAGGACAACAAUCAGUCGUAUAUUGCACAAAUCUGGCAUUUAUGGAAGAGUGGCAAGAAGAAAGCCAUUUCUUAAAGAUAUCCAUAAAAAGUGUCGUUUAAAGUUUGCCACAAGCCACCUGGGAGACACACCAAACAUGUGGAAGAAGGUGCUCUGGUCAGAUGAAACCAAAAUUGAACUUUUUGGCAACAAUGCAAAACGUUAUGUUUGGCGUAAAAGCAACACAGCUCAUCACCCUGAACACACCAUCCCCACUGUCAAACAUGGUGGUGGCAGCAUCAUGGUUUGGGCCUGCUUUUCUUCAGCAGGGACAGGGAAGAUGGUAAAAAUUGAUUGGAAGAUGGAUGGAGCCAAAUACAGGACCAUUCUGGAAGAAUGACCUGAGACUGGGACGGAGAUUUGUCUUCCAACAAGACAAUGAUCCAAAACAUAAAGCAAAAUCUACAAUGGAAUGGUUCAAAAAUAAACAUAUCCAGGUGUUAGAAUGGCCAAGUCAAAGUCCAGACCUGAAUCCAAUCGAGAAUCUGUGGAAAUAACUGAAAACUGCUGUUCACAAAUGCUCUCCAUCCAACCUCACUGAGCUCGAGCUGUUUUGCAAGGAGGAAUGGGGAAAAAAUUCAAUCUCUCGAUGUGAAAAACUGAUAGAGACAUACCCCAAGCGACUUACAGCUGUAAUCGCAGGAAAAGGUGGCGCUACAAAGUAUUAACUUAAGGGGGCUGAAUAA